rnacentral:lncRNA from 1 species
UAGCUUAUUGAGGGGGCAAAAGAUUCUUUCUCCCAGAUGACAGGUUAAAAUGUCACACUGAAGUACUGAACUGUACUAGUCACUUGAACCCCAAAGAAAGGGCCAUGAUAUGACUGUGGACUAAACUUAAUUACCACAAAUUUGUCUGCCACUGCUACUUGUUGUCACUGGCUCAUUCUCAGCCCUCAUUAUCUCCAAUAGCCUGAUCUACCAAGUCACCAAACAUCUCUUCCAUUAAGAAUUUCCUAUUUGUUGUUCACAGUUUUAGGAACGAAGAUAAGUGUGAAGGAGAUUGGAUUCUAGACCAGUGCCAAGGUCAUGGGAUAUUGCAUUGUGCUGAUGGAACAAUAUAUGAGGUGAGAACAGUCGAGGUUUGGAGAUCUGGACCACCAUCAAAACCCACCAAAUUCUCUUAGCUUCUGCUGCUAGCUUCCUUGAGUUAAUUGAAGAAAACUCCUUUGUGUACCUACUGUGUGUAAGAAUCCUUUUCAUUAUGUAUAUCCCUUGAUUAACAUGUGGAUGCAGUAAUCAAAAAUAUUAGCAGUUGUUCAUUUGUUGAUGUAUUCUUCCUCCCUAAUUAAUCCUAGCUUUACUUGACAGUUGCUUGUUUGGAUGAGCUUUUUGGUUUUCUUUUCCUGCAGCAUUUCUUCUGAGCUCUUCCUGCUCCUCACAAGGCUGAAUGCCAUUCUUCUGGAAGGCAUGUUCCUAAGAGACAUUGUCAGUAGAACUCUGAGUAAAAUGGAUUACAAAGGGCAUUGAUUACCCUUCUGAAGAUGUUGAUUUGAGUUUAUAAGCUAUCGUUUGACAGCUGCUUCAUCUGGAAAUUGGGAACUGAAAUCUGCUGCUCCUGUAGUUAGCAAUUCUGGAUUUGCAUUGGCUGAUUCACCAAUCCUUAUGGGAGAUGUAUAGCCAGAAUCUGUAUCAGACACCUUGUAUGGAGUAGGAGAUGCUCCUAGCAACCAGGAUGAAAGGAGGCGAAAAGCCAAGUGGCAGGAUAUAUGCUGACAAAGCUGAGAAGAUGACAAUCACAGAAGAAAAUUGGACACAGCAGUUUGUCAUCAUUGAAUGCCAAGUUGAGGCUCGGGAGGUUAUAUAACAACUGAUCUGUGAUCUUUAAAAAUGAAUGACUUUUAUAGGAUUAAGGAAUGUGCAACUGAAGCCAAAGCCUCCUUUCACGUACACACCUCAGCGCUGCCAAAAUAACAGACCACACUGGUAAGAGAAGAAUUAUUUCUAAUCUUGUGAAACACUUGUGAGCCGUGGUGAUCCAGAAGUUGUAGAUUGUUUUAGCUGCAUUUUCGUAUCUUAAAAGGAAAGUUUAUUACAUUGUCAGGUGUAUUUGAUAUAAAUUCUCGAGACAGCAGUUGUUGUCAAGUGUACUGCAAACUUAGUUUAUUAAAAUGUAUUGGGAGAAGUCCUUAACUCACUGAAGUCUGUUAAAUUCUUC